GGAUUACACUGGCAGUUCAUUAUCACCAGGCAUGAAGCACAUUUAUUACUGAGAUCAGCCGUCACAGAGACACAUGCAAAAGUGAGAGAGGCAAAUGAGGACAGAUCUUUGGGGGGAGAAACCGGUCCUGGGUUUUCUUGCUUACCUGAAUUUUGAGCCGCCACCCGGGAUUUUCUGGGGCUCACAGAAUCAUUUUGUUCCGCCUCGUGCGCUGCAGCUGCACUGAUGACCAGCGCCAGAAUCACUGCUGAGUUUUGGAGCAUUCUCUGAGAAGUUUCCGCUAAGUUGUUGGCUUUUUUUUUUCCUCCCCCCCUUUCCUCUUUCCCUCUCCCGGCUUGAGUGAAGAUGUGGAUCUGGAUAUACUGAAAGCUUAGAUCUACACUGUGAUGUCGCUCAGUGUCAUGGAGGAUAUGCUCCUCAGAGUCUAGUGAAUCUUCAGUCUACUAAGAAGUCCCUGAAGCAAGCCUGAAGAGUCUAUGAAAUGAAUGUCUCAACACUCAAAAUAUGAUGCCAAAGGCAGGGAAGAUUAUUGGAAAAUCAAUGCUCUUCAAUCUACACUGGAACCCAAAGAAGCCAUAGUCUGAUGUUAAAGAAGGAUGCAGCAGCAGCAGCAGCAGCAGCAGCAGUCGGAGCUGGA
rnacentral:lncRNA from 1 species